CCUACGGGAGGCAGCAGUGGGGAAUUUUGGACAAUGGACGCAAGUCUGAUCCAGCCAUGCCGCGUGCGGGAAGAAGGCCUUCGGGUUGUAAACCGCUUUUGUCAGGGAAGAAAAGGUUCUGGUUAAUACCUGGGACUCAUGACGGUACCUGAAGAAUAAGCACCGGCUAACUACGUGCCAGCAGCCGCGGUAAUACGUAGGGUGCAAGCGUUAAUCGGAAUUACUGGGCGUAAAGCGUGCGCAGGCGGUUAUGCAAGACAGAUGUGAAAUCCCCGGGCUCAACCUGGGAACUGCAUUUGUGACUGCAUAGCUAGAGUACGGUAGAGGGGGAUGGAAUUCCGCGUGUAGCAGUGAAAUGCGUAGAUAUGCGGAGGAACACCGAUGGCGAAGGCAAUCCCCUGGACCUGUACUGACGCUCAUGCACGAAAGCGUGGGGAGCAAACAGGAUUAGAUACCCUGGUAGUCCACGCCCUAAACGAUGUCAACUGGUUGUUGGGAGGGUUUCUUCUCAGUAACGAAGCUAACGCGUGAAGUUGACCGCCUGGGGAGUACGGCCGCAAGGUUGAAACUCAAAUGAAAUUGACGG
rnacentral:rRNA from 1 species